rnacentral:rRNA from 1 species
GAUGAACGCUGGCGGCGUGCCUAACACAUGCCAGUCGAGCGGAGUAUGGAGGAAGUGCUUGCACGGAGACCAUACUUAGCGGCGGACGGGUGAGUAACACGUGAGCAACUUGCCUUCUUCUGGGGGAUAACACCGGGAAACUGGUGCUAAUACCGCAUAACGUCCCGACACCGCAUGGUGAUGGGACCAAAGGAGCAAUCCGGGAGAAGAUGGGCUCGCGGCCGAUUAGAUAGUUGGCGGGGUAACGGCCCACCAAGUCGACGAUCGGUAGCCGGACUGAGAGGUCGAACGGCCACAUUGGGACUGAGACACGGCCCAGACUCCUACGGGAGGCAGCAGUGGGGAAUAUUGGGCAAUGGGCGAAAGCCUGACCCAGCAACGCCGCGUGAAGGAAGAAGGCCUUCGGGUUGUAAACUUCUUUGAUCGGGGACGAACGAAAUGACGGUACCCGAGGAACAAGCCACGGCUAACUACGUG